UCGCCGGUGAUGAUAUCACACACCAAAUUACCAUCUUUCGGGACUGAAUGGCUUUAAAGCCUUGCUGUGAUUUUGCAAUUCUGAGGCGU